rnacentral:misc_RNA from 1 species
GUGAAUCAUCAAAUUUUUGAACGCAAAUUGCACUCCCUGGUAUUCCGGGGAGUAUGCCUGUUUGAGGGUCGUUAGAAUAAAAAUCGGGGCGUCGGCUUUUUUUUUUAGGGGGAUCGGGGUGGAAUUUAGUCGUCUUUAAAUUUUUAUUCAUGUCAAAGUUGCUUAAAAUUUUAUCCAUCCGGUACGAAUAAAGCGUUUUUUAGAACAAUUUUGAAUAAGAACGGGCG